CAAUAGGUUAGCGCGCUAAAGGUUUUGCAAUGAGUCUAAUAAACAUGGCUCUAGGGCUUCUGUGGCAACCCAUUACUGAGGCUUUGAAAAGAAGCUGUUAAUCACCCUUUGACUUACUUUAUAAAAUUUGAAUCACUAUAAAAGCAGUAGCAUAGUCAGCGUCAUCACUAAUUGAAAGGUAAGUUAUGCUCUUUUGAGAGAUAAAAUCUCUACUAGUGAUGAUAUACGGCCUUCCUUUU